UUCCUCGUAGUAUAGUGGCCAGUAUCCCCCGCCUGACACGCGGGAGACUGGUGUUUGAUUCCCGUCGGGGAGU